rnacentral:rRNA from 1 species
UGGGGAAUAUUGGACACUGGGGGAAACCCUGAUCCAGCCAUGCCGCGUGAGUGAAGAAGGCCUUAGGGUUGUAAAGCUCUUUCACCCGUGAAGAUGAUGACGGUAGCGGGAGAAGAAGCCCCGGCUAACUCCGUGCCAGCAGCCGCGGUAAUACGGAGGGGGCGAGCGUUGUUCGGAAUUACUGGGCGUAAAGGGCGCGUAGGCGGAUCGUCAAGUCAGGGGUGAAAGUCCUGGGCUCAACCUGGGGACUGCCUUUGAAACUGACGGUCUUGAGACCGGGAGAGGAUGGCGGAAUUCCCAGUGUAGAGGUGAAAUUCGUAGAUAUUGGGAAGAACACCGGUGGCGAAGGCGGCCAUCUGGCCCGGUUCUGACGCUGAGGCGCGAAAGCGUGGGGAGCAAACAGGAUUAGAUACCCGCGUAGUCC